UCCGAUGUUUGUGAUGUACCAACUGC
rnacentral:piRNA from 1 species